CCACACACCACACACCACACACACACACACACACACACACACACACACACACACACACACACACACACACACACACACACACACACACACACACACACACACACACACACACAGUGUUACAACAGUUAACCUCUCUCUUCCUCCCUCGCUCUCUACUCCUCCCCUCUCUUUAAGUUUCCUCCCCCAAUCCUUGACUUAACAUGCUGCUUCAGUCUCACAGUGGAGACACUCAGAGAGCACCACAGAGAGAGACAGCAGCAGCAAACCAAAGACCGCACUACUACUGUCCCCCUCUCCACCUCUUCUCUCCACUACUACUGUCCCCCUCUCCACCUCUUCUCCACUUCUUCUCUCUCUCUGUGUCUCCCUUGUUCAUCUUGUCAGGUCAGUGUGGAUGUGAGAUGGGUUGUGGAUAUUCCUCAACGACCAGCACGGCUGGAGGAGGUCCAGGCGAAGCCCCCAAAGAAGAAGUCACAGAGGAGUCUGCACAAGAAGAAGAAAAAAGGAUGAACUAUGGAGGUGUGUAUGUGGGACUACCAGCAGACCUGAGCAUUAUGCCUCCUAUCCAGAUGGGAACACACCAAGAUGAGUGAAGCAUCAUUGAAACACCUUUCACUAAAGGUAUGAUGUCAACAGCUCCAAUCUCAAUAUCAGAUGUCAAUAUCCUAUGUUAAACUCUCUGCCUCAAUCUCAGAAGUUCAUCUUUUGGGACUCUCACACCCACGACAGAGAGGGAGAGAGAGAACCUUCAGGAUAAUGAUGAUGUCAACAAGAAUGAAGGAAUGAAUUGUUCUCUUUGAUCUCUGAUUGGCACCAUGGGACCCAGUAGAACCCCUGGGGGACCAAUCA